UGCAAGUCGUACGCACUGGCCCAACUGAUUGAUGGUGCUUGCACCUGAUUGACGAUGGAUCACCAGUGAGUGGCGGACGGGUGAGUAACACGUAGGUAACCUGCCCCGGAGCGGGGGAUAACAUUUGGAAACAGAUGCUAAUACCGCAUAACAACAAAAGCCACAUGGCUUUUGUUUGAAAGAUGGCUUUGGCUAUCACUCUGGGAUGGACCUGCGGUGCAUUAGCUAGUUGGUAAGGUAACGGCUUACCAAGGCGAUGAUGCAUAGCCGAGUUGAGAGACUGAUCGGCCACAAUGGAACUGAGACACGGUCCAUACUCCUACGGGAGGCAGCAGUAGGGAAUCUUCCACAAUGGGCGCAAGCCUGAUGGAGCAACACCGCGUGAGUGAAGAAGGGUUUCGGCUCGUAAAGCUCUGUUGUUGGAGAAGAACGUGCGUGAGAGUAACUGUUCACGCAGUGACGGUAUCCAACCAGAAAGUCACGGCUAACUACGUGCCAGCAGCCGCGGUAAUACGUAGGUGGCAAGCGUUAUCCGGAUUUAUUGGGCGUAAAGCGAGCGCAGGCGGUUGCUUAGGUCUGAUGUGAAAGCCUUCGGCUUAACCGAAGAAGUGCAUCGGAAACCGGGCGACUUGAGUGCAGAAGAGGACAGUGGAACUCCAUGUGUAGCGGUGGAAUGCGUAGAUAUAUGGAAGAACACCAGUGGCGAAGGCGGCUGUCUGGUCUGCAACUGACGCUGAGGCUCGAAAGCAUGGGUAGCGAACAGGAUUAGAUACCCUGGUAGUCCAUGCCGUAAACGAUGAGUGCUAGGUGUUGGAGGGUUUCCGCCCUUCAGUGCCGGAGCUAACGCAUUAAGCACUCCGCCUGGGGAGUACGACCGCAAGGUUGAAACUCAAAGGAAUUGACGGGGGCCCGCACAAGCGGUGGAGCAUGUGGUUUAAUUCGAAGCUACGCGAAGAACCUUACCAGGUCUUGACAUCUUGCGCUAACCUUAGAGAUAAGGCGUUCCCUUCGGGGACGCAAUGACAGGUGGUGCAUGGUCGUCGUCAGCUCGUGUCGUGAGAUGUUGGGUUAAGUCCCGCAACGAGCGCAACCCUUGUUACUAGUUGCCAGCAUUAAGUUGGGCACUCUAGUGAGACUGCCGGUGACAAACCGGAGGAAGGUGGGGACGACGUCAGAUCAUCAUGCCCCUUAUGACCUGGGCUACACACGUGCUACAAUGGACGGUACAACGAGUCGCAAGCUCGCGAGAGUAAGCUAAUCUCUUAAAGCCGUUCUCAGUUCGGACUGUAGGCUGCAACUCGCCUACACGAAGUCGGAAUCGCUAGUAAUCGCGGAUCAGCAUGCCGCGGUGAAUACGUUCCCGGGCCUUGUACACACCGCCCGUCACACCAUGGGAGUUUGUAACGCCCAAAGUCGGUGGCCUAACCUUUAUGGAGGGAGCCGCCUAAG
rnacentral:rRNA from 1 species